UGAGCUUUAUGGGAGAUCCCAUGAUCACAAAAGUGGUUUCAGAAGGGGAGGCACCUUCAUUUUACUCCAGAUACACUGAUCACUGUCACUUUUCCAAAUGUGGAAAACUCAACUCCAUAAUUUUUAUUAUUGGCGGGCUUCUCUCUU
rnacentral:snRNA from 1 species